UACGUAGGGUGCAAGCGUUGUCCGGAAUUAUUGGGCGUAAAGAGCUCGUAGGUGGCCUGUCGCGUCGGCUGUGAAAACUCGGGGCUCAACUCCGAGCUUGCAGUCGAUACGGGCAGGCUAGAGUUCGGCAGGGGAGACUGGAAUUCCUGGUGUAGCGGUGAAAUGCGCAGAUAUAAGGAGGAACACCGGUGGCGAAGGCGGGUCUCUGGGCCGAUACUGACACUGAGGAGCGAAAGCGUGGGGAGCGAACAGG
rnacentral:rRNA from 1 species